rnacentral:rRNA from 1 species
UACGUAGGUGGCAAGCGUUGUCCGGAAUUAUUGGGCGUAAAGCGCACGUAGGCGGCUUGGCAAGUCGGAUGUGAAAUCCCUCGGCUCAACCAAGGAAGUGCAUCCGAAACUGCCGAGCUUGAGUACUUAAGAGGAUCGCGGAAUUCCCGGUGUAGAGGUGAAAUUCGUAGAUAUCGGGAGGAACACCAGUGGCGAAGGCGGCGAUCUGGGAAGAUACUGACGCUGAGGUGCGAAAGCGUGGGGAGCAAACAGG